rnacentral:tRNA from 1 species
CAAUAACAUUAUGCUUUGGUAGUUUAACUAAACAUCAGGCCGUGACCCUGAAAAUAGAGUACGCCUCUCCAAGGCC